GACGAACGCUGGCGGCGUGCUUAACACAUGCAAGUCGAACGGAAAGGCCCUGCUUUUGUGGGGUGCUCGAGUGGCGAACGGGUGAGUAACACGUGAGUAACCUGCCCUUGACUUUGGGAUAACUUCAGGAAACUGGGGCUAAUACCGGAUAGGAGCUCCUGCUGCAUGGUGGGGGAUGGAAAGUUUCGGCGGUUGGGGAUGGACUCGCGGCUUAUCAGCUUGUUGGUGGGGUAGUGGCUUACCAAGGCUUUGACGGGUAGCCGGCCUGAGAGGGUGACCGGCCACAUUGGGACUGAGAUACGGACCAGACUCCUACGGGAGGCAGCAGUGGGGAAUAUUGCACAAUGGGCGGAAGCCUGAUGCAGCAACGCCGCGUGCGGGAUGACGGCCUUCGGGUUGUAAACCGCUUUCGCCUGUGACGAAGCGUGAGUGACGGUAAUGAGUAAAGAAGCACCGGCUAACUACGUG
rnacentral:rRNA from 1 species